AGUGAACGCUGGCGGUAGGCCUAACACAUGCAAGUCGAACGGCAGCACAGUAAGAGCUUGCUCUUACGGGUGGCGAGUGGCGGACGGGUGAGGAAUACAUCGGAAUCUACUUUUUUGUGGGGGAUAACGUAGGGAAACUUACGCUAAUACCGCAUACGACCUACGGGUGAAAGCAGGGGAUCUUCGGACCUUGCGCGAUUGAAUGAGCCGAUGUCGGAUUAGCUAGUUGGCGGGGUAUAGGCCCACCAAGGCGACGAUCCGUAGCUGGUCUGAGAGGAUGAUCAGCCACACUGGAACUGAGACACGGUCCAGACUCCUACGGGAGGCAGCAGUGGGGAAUAUUGGACAAUGGGCGCAAGCCUGAUCCAGCCAUACCGCGUGGGUGAAGAAGGCCUUCGGGUUGUAAAGCCCUUUUGUUGGGAAAGAAAAGCAGCAGGUUAAUACCCCGCUGUUCUGACGGUACCCAAAGAAUAAGCACCGGCUAACUUCGUG
rnacentral:rRNA from 1 species